AUUGAACGCUGGCGGCAGGCCUAACACAUGCAAGUCGAGCGGGGGUAGCAAUACUCUAGCGGCGAACGGGUGAGGAAUGCUUGGGAAUCUGCCUGGUAGUGGGGGAUAACGUUCCGAAAGGAACGCUAAUACCGCAUACGUCCUACGGGAGAAAGGGGGGGAUCUUCGGACCUCUCGCUAUCAGAUGAGCCCAAGCGGGAUUAGCUAGUUGGUGAGGUAAAGGCUCACCAAGGCGACGAUCCCUAGCUGGUCUGAGAGGAUGAUCAGCCACACUGGAACUGAGACACGGUCCAGACUCCUACGGGAGGCAGCAGUGGGGAAUAUUGGACAAUGGGCGAAAGCCUGAUCCAGCCAUGCCGCGUGUGUGAAGAAGGCCUUCGGGUUGUAAAGCACUUUAAGCGAGGAGGAAGGUUUGUCACCUAAUACGUGACGGAAUUGACGUUACUCGCAGAAUAAGCACCGGCUAACUCUGUGCCAGCCGCCGCGGUAAAAC
rnacentral:rRNA from 1 species